ACACGUAUCCAACCUGCCGUCUACUCUUGGACAGCCUUCUGAAAGGAAGAUUAAUACAAGAUGGCAUCAUGAGUCCGCAUGUUCACAUGAUUAAAGGUAUUCCGGUAGACGAUGGGGAUGCGUUCCAUUAGAUAGUAGGCGGGGUAACGGCCCACCUAGUCUUCGAUGGAUAGGGGUUCUGAGAGGAAGAUCCCCCACAUUGGAACUGAGACACGGUCCAAACUCCUACGGGAGGCAGCAGUGAGGAAUAUUGGUCAAUGGGCGAGAGCCUGAACCAGCCAAGUAGCGUGAAGGAUGACUGCCCUAUGGGUUGUAAACUUCUUUUAUAAAGGAAUAAAGUCGGGUAUGGAUACCCGUUUGCAUGUACUUUAUGAAUAAGGAUCGGCUAACUCCGUGCCAGCAGCCGCGGUAAUACGGAGGAUCCGAGCGUUAUCCGGAUUUAUUGGGUUUAAAGGGAGCGUAGAUGGAUGUUUAAGUCAGUUGUGAAAGUUUGCGGCUCAACCGUAAAAUUGCAGUUGAUACUGGAUAUCUUGAGUGCAGUUGAGGCAGGCGGAAUUCGUGGUGUAGCGGUGAAAUGCUUAGAUAUCACGAAGAACUCCGAUUGCGAAGGCAGCCUGCUAA
rnacentral:rRNA from 1 species